UACAGAGGGUGCGAGCGUUAAUCGGAAUUACUGGGCGUAAAGGGCGCGUAGGUUGUUUUAUAAGAGGAUUGUGAAAUCCCCGGGCUUAACCUGGGAAUGGCAAUCCAGACUGUGAGACUAGAGUACGGUAGAGGGUAGAGGAAUUUCCGGUGUAGCGGUGAAAUGCGUAGAGAUCGGAAGGAACACCAGUGGCGAAGGCGGCUACCUGGACUGAUACUGACACUGAGGCGCGAAAGCGUGGGGAGCAAACAGG
rnacentral:rRNA from 1 species